ACGGGAGGCAGCAGUGGGGAAUAUUGGGCAAUGGGCGAAAGCCUGACCCAGCAACGCCGCGUGAAGGAAGAAGGUCUUCGGAUUGUAAACUUCUUUUAUGAGGGACGAAGGACGUGACGGUACCUCAUGAAUAAGCCACGGCUAACUACGUGCCAGCAGCCGCGGUAAUACGUAGGUGGCGAGCGUUAUCCGGAUUUACUGGGUGUAAAGGGCGCGUAGGCGGGGAUGCAAGUCAGAUGUGAAAUCUAUGGGCUUAACCCAUAAACUGCAUUUGAAACUGUUCUUCUUGAGUGCUGGAGGGGCAAUCGGAAUUCCUUGUGUAGCGGUGAAAUGCGUAGAUAUAAGGAGGAACACCAGUGGCGAAGGCGGAUUGCUGGACAGUAACUGACGGUGAGGCGCGAAAGUGUGGGGAGCAAACAGGAUUAGAUACCCUGGUA
rnacentral:rRNA from 1 species